rnacentral:rRNA from 1 species
AUUGAACGCUGGCGGCAGGCCUAACACAUGCAAGUCGAACGAGUGGCGGACGUGUGAGUAAUGUAUGGGAAACUGCCCGAUGGAGGGGGAUAACUACUGGAAACGGUAGCUAAUACCGCAUACCAUCGGAUGUGCCCAGAUGGGAUUAGCUAGUGGGUGGGGUAACGGCUCACCUAGGCGCCGAUCCCUAGCUGGUCGGAGAGGAUGACCAGCCACAAUGGACCUGAGACACGGCCCAGACUCCUACGGGAGGCAGCAGUGGGGAAUAUUGAACAAUGGGCGCAACCCUGAUGCAGCCAUGCCGCGUGUGUGAAGAAGGCCUUCGGGUUGUAAAGUACUUUCAGCGGGGAGGCGUUACUCGCAGAAGAAGCACCGGCUAACUCCGUGCCAGCAGCCGCGGUAAUAC